ensembl:lncRNA
UGCAUAUCAAUGGGUAUACCGUUGAAAUACCCAAGGAUUAUGGAAAGGGAAGAGAAAAAUGAUGCACCGCCUUGGAUCGGUGACUGGGUUCCCGGGGCUGAUGGGAGCUCAGAGGAGGCGCCCCGUCGGAGGGCCUGCGGGGGACCCCGGCUCACUUCCUGUCCACUGCGGGUCUUUUUGCGGUCUGGGCUUGCUGUUCCCACAGCCUUAGCCAGGAAGCCCUUACCCCAAAAAGCAUCCGCGUUGGACCUCUGGCGUCUGGACGGGACAGCGACCACCCCCCCCCCCCCCCCCCUAAUGAGGACCUCAGCAGAUACAAGGAGCACCAGGGGGGGGCGGGGGGGCACUGGGCCACAAGAUGGAGGAGGUAAUCCGGUCCAGAAGGGGCUGAAACUGUUGGUGGGUUCAUCCACCGACAGGAAUCUUUAUUCAUCUAAAUCGACGAAUUGUGUUCCAUCAAAUACACACUACAUACAAACUUUUGCAGCCUAAUUUCUAAUAUCCGCUUUUUGGAUCAUUAUAAAGUGAAUACUUCAAUUUCACUUUGGACUCUAUUUGGCUUUUAUUCAUAUAUUUUACAUUUUAUAGACUCAAUUAUCAAUCAAUGAAUAAGAAAAAUGUGAAAAUAAUCAUUAAUUGCAGCCCUUCUAUCCAGGCAAUGGGAGGGAUGCGAAUCUUUAGGAAAUGGAUGCGUUACAAUUAUUAUAUAUAAUAAAUAAAUAAAAACGUAUAUAAAUAUAUAUUGGGUAUAAAACAUUAGAAUACGGCCGAAAACAAGGGUGUUCCUUUUGUAGGAUGUAGUGGAAGAUGAUACGAAGGUGAAUGUCAGAAUAUGUUAAUCCAGGAAUUUGAGCAAUUGUUAACAUUUUACUAUAAUACUACAGAGGAAGACAGGAAGUAGAGACACUGCAACCAAGCGGUGCCAAAAGCAAGUCCAUAGCCAAAUCCCUUAACCUAACUGGUAAGUUAACUCACCUUUUUACCAGUAAUUCGGCCCAAGAAAUAAACUAAUGGGAAGGGUAUUAGAACAGACCCAGGUCACACUUAGUCCAGCUAUGGCCAAAGCCAAGAGAAAGCGACCUCUGGAAAAAGGUUUUUUUUUGGCCAAUAGUAUUUCCCCUGUUUAACAACUCAAGACUUUGUACUAAAAAACAAUACAGAAUUGUUCAUCAGCACUUGUGAGACUCACAGGACAAAAUACGUAUUUUAGGGAUUAAAAUCCCUUUAUGGUUGAUCAUAUAUAUAUAUAUAUAUAUAUAUCAAUGAAUACUUCAACCCAGCUCAGUACAUACACUCCUUGAUGUUGAAGUCUCUAGACUAGGUCUAAAGCAUAUACGUUUGAAUAAGUAUUGUUAUCAUGAUAGACAGACACACACUCCUCAUUCUGUCACAUUUUAUUAAUAGAAUAUACUUUUCUUACAGUUAUUCACAUUAUAAUUGAACAUAAAUAACACAUUUGUUGCAGUGUGUCAUUUAUUUUUGAACAGUUGCAGAAAAUAAGCCAAAUAAGUCCAGUGAAGACCUUAAAAGAAGAGUUACAUAAGCUUUGUGUGCAUCUUAAUGCCUGGGUAAACACAAUCUGCUCGCUAUGUCUAUGCCUCAAGCCAUGACAUUGCCUACAUACAUGUAGGCACUACACCAGCUGUGUGUGUGUGUGUGUGUGUGUGUGUGUGUGUGUGUGUGUGUGUGUGUGUGUGUGUGUGUGUGUGUGUGUGUGUGUGUGUGUGUGUGUGUGUGUGUGUGUGUGUGUGUGUGUCUGAACAGGAUGUUUAAUGUGUUUCCAUAUUUUGGUUGAUUCCUGUACUUUUUGGGGGUUCUAAGUGUAAUUAAGACAAUGUAUUGUACGUUGCCACAUGCAGUAGUCACCUUAGUGGUCACUGUCUACAUGUCCCUACUCGACACUACUUAUACAUUGUAUGCACACAUAUUCUAAUCAAGGGGAGAAGUGUGUUCAGCACCACACUCGGAUCUCUGGUUAAGGAUAUCAAAGCGGCAUUCACAAACUUAUAUCUGGCUUAAAAUCCACGACCAUCAACAUCAAAUAGAUGGAAGGGUUCAUUAAAAAAAUAUAUAGUUUCACCUCGGCUCCUUUUGAGCCUCCAUUCAGUUGCAUUGAGCAGGCUACAAAAUACAAAUAUAACACGUCUGUUACUUACAUUGUAUUCACUUGCUUGUGCCUUCGUUACAGCUGGGUGUGUCUGUGGCAGCAUAUCUGCCUCAUCCGUUAUCCGCAGGGUAAACACCCAGCUGCAAAGGCCUUAACGAACACCUUCACCACAGGUACAACUGUCAGUGUUCUGGGUGUCAUGUUCACAGUGCUUUUCUGUGAUUGCAAUGUCUCGCUGCGCAAAGGAAAUGGCUUAACUGUUUCCUGUACUAACUGCUACUACGCUAUGGGGUGUGACCAAUGGGAACGGGACUUACAAGCGCAUAAAUGGGAAAUGUACUUCCUGAUCAAUUUGCAAUUAGAUUUUAUGAAAGUUUUUGAAAGAGUAUCUGGACAUUUUUGCUCUUAAGAUGUCCGUUUCUUAAUUUGCAAGCCUGCUCAAUGCAAGUGAAUUGAGGGUCCAACACUUUAGAACUAAAAUCUUUACGUAUUUAUUGGUGGGGAAGUGGAAUCGAAGCCAUAUAUGGGCGUAGCGAGUUCUGGCAAGAUGCUCCGACACUGAGAAGUGAUCCAUUUUUGAGGUUCCAUUUCACCCACCAUAACCAUCAUCAUGUAUUAUACCCAAAUCAUCGGUUGAUAUAGCUGAUGUUGUACGCCAUGGGGUUAAUGUAUCGUGCUCCCUGUUGUCAAAUGUAGGUAUCGUAUAAGUUAACUGUAUGUCAAGAUUUAAAUCCUACAGCAUAGCGCCACUCCUUUGCCAUGCUAAGGUGUAUGACUAUUUCAAGCAUCAAAUGGUUAAAUCUAUGACACAAGGGAUAUAUGAAACUCAUGCAAACAUGGGAGAAAGAGUGCUUCGUCUAUACACGUUAUGUAUGCAUGGGCAGAAAACAUAAAUGGUGACCUUCCGCAUCCAACCUCUGUAGAUAUCAUUCAGUAGGCCUUACAGUCUAAAAGAUAAAGUACAGUCUUUAGUUUUCAUUACUUUCCCCCUAAAAUGAUGAAUGGUACCAGUGAUGUCUGAGGUGUGGUGGAAGAAUAUUGUCAUGCUGACUGAGAAUAUGACAGUAGAGUGUAACUCUGCAAAUUAAUCUAAAUUCUUCAACUUCAAUAAAGUAACACAGUUGAGGCAAUGAUUACUUCCAUGUGUCUUUUUUAUAGGUGUAGCCUACCGUCAAUGCAUCGUUUACUCAGUUUCUCUACUCGUCUUCUCCUGCUUCUGCUUUCCAUGCAACAUUGGAGUUGGAAAGAAAGUACGUAUUCCUUCGUCAAACAGUAGGCCUAGGGAUUUAGGGUGAUAUGUUAUCUCCGUCCAUAUAGCCCACUCUCCAGGGAAAAGAGAUCAGGAGAAAUCAUGCAUUUCAGAAAUUGGACAAUAAGUAGGCCUAAAGUUAUUAACUUUGCCUUUAUUUUCUAUUUUAAUACUAAAAUUCCAUUUUAACUUUAAAUUUUACCCAUUUCUUUGCAUAUGUUUUCUUUUACUUAUCUAUUAUUAUCUUUUAUUGUA